rnacentral:rRNA from 1 species
AUACAUGCAAGUCGAGGGGCAGCACGGGUAGCAAUAUCUGGUGGCGACCGGCGCACGGGUGCGUAACACGUAUACAAUCUACCCUUAACAGGGGGAUAGCCCUCCGAAAGGAGGAUUAAUACCCCAUAAUAAAUUGAAUGGCAUCAUUUGAUUUUGAAAGUUCCGACGGUUAAGGAUGAGUAUGCGUCUGAUUAGCUAGUUGGUGAGGUAAAGGCUCACCAAGGCAACGAUCAGUAGGGGAUCUGAGAGGACUACCCCCCACACUGGUACUGAGACACGGACCAGACUCCUACGGGAGGCAGCAGUAAGGAAUAUUGGUCAAUGGAGGCAACUCUGAACCAGCCAUGCCGCGUGCAGGAAGACGGCCCUAUGGGUUGUAAACUGCUUUUGUACGGGAGAAAACCCUUUCACGUGUGAGAGGUUGAUAGUACCGUAAGAAUAAGCAUCGGCUAACUUCGUGCCAGCAGCCGCGGUAAGACGAAGGAUGCAAGCGUUAUCCGGAUUCAUUGGGUUUAAAGGGAGCGUAGGUGGACUUGUAAGUCAGUGGUGAAAUCUCUCAGCUUAACUGAGAAACUGCCAUUGAUACUGCAGGUCUUGAGUACAGAUGAUGUGGGCGGAAUAUGACAUGUAGUGGUGAAAUACUUAGAUAUGUCAUAGAACACCGAUUGCGAAGGCAGCUCACAAAA